UGCUUAUAAUAAUUAAGUAUUAGCUUAAAACUUGAGAGUUUUCUUAUAGUAUUACUCAUAAGAUUAAGAUAUGGGUAUAGUUAGCAAAGUGUUUUAUGGGUAUCGUAUUAUAGAACAUGAAUGUUAUUGGAUUCAUGAUACGAGGGGAAUUAAGGCUUAAAUUUAAGAUUGAAAUUUUAUAAUUUUCGCUUAACAUUAGAGUUAGGAGUUUGGUUAUAGAUUGGCGUGAGUUUGAAUUUAGGCUAGACCUAUAGUAAUACGUGUAUCUAUGAACUCAUUUGUUUGCGGAUAUUACACAUUUGAUAGAUUGAGAACGUUCCAAACCUUUGCAAAAAGGAGGAAAAAUUUUGAAGAUUCGUGGAAGGAGGUUCGACAUUUAAGAUUCGAUUCCAAGUAGGAGCACAUCUCGAGGAGCAGUUUGAGUCCGAGUUUGGAGUGUCUUGGAGUUGUGGUGAGCUGCGUGGCUGUUCCGUGGCCCACACCUCCCUCUAUCUUUUACUUAUUCUGUUAUUCAGUAUUCAGAUAGGAUAUCCCUUAUGUUAGAUUUGCCUUUUUAGUUUCAGACUUGCAUCAUAUUUUAGAAGCUCUUGUACUCAUGACACCAUUUCUUGGGUAGUAUUUUUUUUCAGUUUUCCGCAUUCGUACUUAUAAGAACUCAGUGUUGGAGAUUUGGAAAUUGUUGUCUUUUCA